CAAUAGCGUAUAUUAAAGUUGUUGCAGUUAAAAAGCUCGUAGUUGAAUUUUUGCUUGCCGCCGAUGUCGGAACUUCCGUACGUUCGGCGGCGUGCAUCCUUGGGUGGAACCUGUGUGGCAUUAGGUUGUCGUGCAGGGGAUGCUCAUCGUUUACUGUGAAAAAAUUAGAGUGUUCAAAGCAGGCUUACGCCGUUGAAUAUAUUAGCAUGGAAUAAUAAGAUAGGACCUUGGUACUAUUUUGUUGGUUUGCGCACCGAGGUAAUGAUUAACAGGGACAGUUGGGGGUAUUCGUAUUCCAUUGUCAGAGGUGAAAUUCUUGGAUUUCUGGAAGACGAACUACUGCGAAAGCAUUUGUCAAGGAUGUUUUCAUUAA
rnacentral:rRNA from 1 species